rnacentral:rRNA from 1 species
GAUGAACGCUAGCGGCAGGCCUAAUACAUGCAAGUCGAACGGUGUCUUCGGACAUAGUGGCGCACGGGUGCGUAACACGUAUGCAACCUACCUUACAUUGGGGGAUAGCCUUUCGAAAGGGAGAUUAAUACCGCAUAAGACAGUAGCUGGGCAUCCAGCAGCUGUUAAAGAUUUAUCGAUGUAAGCUGGGCAUGCGUCCAAUUAGCUAGUUGGUGAGGUAACGGCUCACAAAGGCAAUGAUUGGUAGGGGAACUGAGAGGUCAAUCCCCCACACUGGCACUGAGAUACGGGCCAGACUCCUACGGGAGGCAGCAGUAGGGAAUAUUGGGCAAUGGACGCAAGGCUGACCCAGCCAUGCCGCGUGCAGGAUGAGGGCGUUAUGCGUUGUAAGCUGCUUUUAUACAGGAAGAAACGACUCUUGCGAGAGGCAUUGACGGUACUGUAUGAAUAGGCACCGGCUAACUCCGUGCCAGCCGCCGCGGUAAAAC